AAGAUAUAUGGUGUCCACGAGAUACUAACACUUAUGCUACGGCUGGAUAAUCAGGGAGGCCAGGAAAAAACCUGCAGUACAGGAAAACCUGGGUAGGGCCAAGACCACCAGCAGCUCCCCACAUAGCUUUAUCUUUACAAAAUUAAGAAAUGUCAGUAUCGCGCUAGACACCAUGCACUAAGCUAUUCUGUUAACGCAUGCGUUAUUUGUUUUAUUGUUUUUGGUUUGUUUUCUUUUUCUUUGUUUUGUUAUGAAACUACGCUUUUGAGCAUAAAUAAGGGAACUAAACGAUCAGAAUUAAUUUGUCGCAAUCCAAAGCAAAACGCCACCGCACAGUAGACAAUACAUAUAUAGUUCAGGUAAUAGAAUGUAGAUUAUGUCAUAAAUAGUUCAUAUAUACGUAAAGAGUUCAUAGCCAUUAGGACGUAGGAGUGAUCCAGAUAGGUGAUGGAAGGCGGAAACCAAGAUGGC